rnacentral:rRNA from 1 species
UACGGAGGGUGCAAGCGUUAUCCGGAUUCACUGGGUUUAAAGGGUGCGUAGGUGGGCUGGUAAGUCAGUGGUGAAAUCUCCAGGCUUAACUUGGAAACUGCCAUUGACACUAUCAGUCUUGAAUACCGUGGAGGUCAGCGGAAUAUGUCAUGUAGCGGUGAAAUGCUUAGAUAUGACAUAGAACACCAAUUGCGAAGGCAGCUGGCUACACGAAUAUUGACACUGAUGCACGAAAGCGUGGGGGAUCAAACAGG